UACAGAGGGUGCGAGCGUUAAUCGGAAUUACUGGGCGUAAAGCGCACGUAGGCGGCUUGGUAUGUCGGGUGUGAAAUCCCCGGGCUCAACCCGGGAACUGCGUCCGAUACUGGAAGGCUUGAAUCCGGGAGAGGGAUGUGGAAUUCCAGGUGUAGCGGUGAAAUGCGUAGAUAUCUGGAGGAACACCGGUGGCGAAGGCGGCAUCCUGGACCGGCAUUGACGCUGAGGCGCGAAAGCGUGGGGAGCGAACAGG
rnacentral:rRNA from 1 species